AGUUCAAUAAAUGAUAAAACGGUAUUUCAUGAAUCAAUAGAUGUGUGAAAUUGUUUAAGGUCGCUAAUGGAGCCCGAGUCUGGUGUAUUUAUCGGUCAGUUGUUGGUUGUUCUAUUUUACAGUUUUAAAUGCAGUAUGAUGUCUGAUGUUUUCAUUUCAUAGUUUCGUGUGUAUAUAUCACUGUUUUAUUGACUAUGGGUUGAAUGACUGAGAACCCGAUGUUGUGUGUUGUCUUGUUUGGCAUAAACUACUGGUUUGCAUGUUUGUGUGUGAUUUGAUGAUGGUGACUGAGGAAAAAGAGAAUAAAAGGUUAUGUGAAUUGAUAAAUAGAUAAUGUGGACAGCCUGACUAGAUAUCCUAGGAGAUGGUGGACGGACCAGGUCCGUAAGGAACCCUACCGGGAACGUGGUCUCUCAUACCGGACGGGGUAUGGAGACCUUCUGUGUUUUGGCGCCCAUACCGGACGGGGUAUGGGGACGACCCGUUUCACCCUCAUACCGGACGGGGUAUUGAGGUUCAUGAUUUUGGUGCCCAUACCGGACGGGGUAUGGGCACCACUCUGGAAUCAGGUUAU
rnacentral:lncRNA from 1 species